UGGGUAGCCUGUUUUGGUGCUUCACUACCCUCAUCAUGAGCAAGUUUUUCCUAAUAUCUGACCUAAACUUCCCUUACUGAAACUUGGGACCAUUGCUCCUUGUUCUGCCAUA